GUGACGUGGAGAUCUCGGUGCUUCCCCUAGUCGCGUCAAUUUGUUUCCUCGUUCGGUCGCAUCCGUACAAUGUACACGAGAAAGUGAACGAUGCGCUGGUAUUUCAUGUCUGAUUACUUACGGCGGAAUGCGUUUGAUUGCGGUAGAAAUUCAUUCAUAUACCGAAAAAUUGCGUCUCUUUUUCGUUACGCGAAUCUUUUCUUCUAGAAAUCGUUGAUGUCACUCAAUUUAAAAGUAGGGUCAGCUAAGAUCGACCGAUCCGAGGUGGGAGAUCGAGCUAGGUCAGUAUCACACCGAGUGAAAUUUGAUCAUAAAAAUUUACGAAUGGUUCAGACCGCAUCUGUUACGUGUGUUUUCGAAGGUUUUCUAUAAUUCCGUCGUCAAAUUACGCCGUCUCCGAAUCCCGAAGGGCGGCCUACCUUGGCGAAAGAAGUCAAAUAGAGUCGUUACCUAUGAGAUAGUCUAAUAGCAGACAAAUUGUCGGCACGACCGGCAUUAUAGUUGCGAUUCGAUACCGAGUGCCGUCCACGCGCAGGUGAAACUUUAGUGAUCCUUGGCAAAGGUCGCUCCCGCACGAGUUCGAAGAAAGUAUACCGAUAAAGUGCACCAGGAAGUGGAUAGCUCGGCGUAAUAAUCGUUGCCGAAGGUGCUCGCUUCGAUUCCACAGCUCAUUCGAACACGGAUGUCCAAAGUAUAACUGACCUUUUAUUCCCAAUAUUUGAUGAGUCUUACUGCUCAAUUAUUGGUAUUGAAGGCGUAAUUGGAGCUUUGCAUUGAUUUUAUAUUUACGCCGUCAUUCGCGCGCGUCCAAGUCGUAGAUCCGUAAUAAAAAUCUCAUGGGAUGUUCCGGACUACUCUUUCCGCACCGUCGUCGUCGUAUCGAUAAUACAUGAUUGACGGUAAAUACUUCUGGUAAUCGAUGGGAAUUGCUCAAUCAAUUCCACACCCAUGACUACUAAUUGCUAUUCACUAUUCACCAGAGACGCAAUGACGCAAUAUGUUGAAUUGCGAUAAACGGAGUGCAGCUGAUUUUGCAUGGCUAGUCGUCGAUUUCAACGAAAUUUACCGCACGCCAUUCAGUUAUUUCUUCUAUUUUCGAUGCGCCACAUCAGUUGGUUUAAUUCGUGAUUAAAUGACCAGAAAAAUGAAAUAUCAUCGAGACGCAAUAACGCAGGAAUUCUGUCAGACGAGUCCCGAAUCAAGGCCACCGAUGAGUUAGGUGAAUAAUAAUCGGGACUUCGAUUUUCGGUAUAUGUAUAUCACAUUUACGAAUAUCCCUCGAAAUCUCCGGGGUCAAGGAUCAACCGAUCGUCAAACUGGGUGAAUAAUUGUUACGCAACUGAUGCGAGAGGGGGCAGCGUUGACCCCACCGAGUGCGAACGUAUCGUUCUUCGGGAACGUCGCCUGAAAAUUAAGCGUUGUCCAUUCUGCCCCGGGAACCGUUUCGCCCCGCUCUUCCCUGUCCAUAUUAGAAAAGAUGUGCUGAAUGUUGGUCACCGUUUAUUACCGCAGUAACGGUAGCAGCUUGCUGGACGAACAAACUUUCUUCGCUGGUUAUCGUUUACCAGAUAUGCCUGGGCAUACGUGUCGUAUACGUGUGGUAUACCUAUACCUACGUACCUUUCACUGGUAGCGGUAGACUCACCGUGCGAGAGCUGGCCCAGGUCAUCAACUCGUUCUGCACGGCGAUAGUUCGCUAUUAUAACACGUAUUUCACCGAGAUGAAGACUGGACGGCCAGAAUUUCCGGAACUAGAAGAUCAACUUCCUGAAAUCCCCCUAUAAUUAUUUUUAUGAAAAAUGUCCGUUACGUCUGACAUCCCACCAAGUCUCAGUCCGUAAUAUGAACGAUUUCAGAUUCAUCCAACGGAAAGUGUUGUUAUGUCGAGUUGAUGGAAUGGUGAAUAAAAAGCAACAAAUAUGGCGACAGAUCCGAACGAUCGUCAAUUUUGUGAACUACUGCGUCAGAGAUUAUUGUUUAUUUAUUUAUAUCUAUUUUUUUAAUACCGAUCAACUUUGAUAAUUUCGAUCUGACGCUUGAUAUUCGUAAGAUUAAUUUAUUUAUGCACGAGGUGUAACGGUGUAUUCAAUAAUUUAAUGAUAUGAGAGUAAAUUGAUUCAAACUGAUAUGAAAUUGUAGUUUCUCUGAUUUGAAUUCAUCAGUUAUAUAAGUUAAUCAACUUUCGGGGAAAUAUUCGAAUAAUUUCGUGUGAUUUCUAAUUGCUGGUAUG